rnacentral:rRNA from 1 species
CCUACGGGGGGCAGCAGUGAGGAAUAUUGGUCAAUGGACGCAAGUCUGAACCAGCCAUGCCGCGUGCAGGAAGACGGCUCUAUGAGUUGUAAACUGCUUUUGUACGAGGGUAAACGCAGAUACGUGUAUCUGUCUGAAAGUAUCGUACGAAUAAGGAUCGGCUAACUCCGUGCCAGCAGCCGCGGUAAUACGGAGGAUUCAAGCGUUAUCCGGAUUUAUUGGGUUUAAAGGGUGCGUAGGCGGCCUGCUAAGUCUGGAGUGAAAGGUACCGGCUCAACCGGUACAGGCUCUGGACACUGGCGGGG